rnacentral:rRNA from 1 species
CGGAGUGAGAGCGUACACAGGUGCUGCAUGGCUGUCGUCAGCUCGUGUCGUGAGAUGUUGGGUUAAGUCCCGCAACGAGCGCAACCCUGCAUUCAGUUGCCAUCGGUAAGGCCGGGCACUCUGGAUGGACUGCCGGCGACAAGCCGGAGGAAGUGGGGACGACGUCAAGUCAUCAUGGCCCUUAUGUCCAGGGCGACACACGUGCUACAAUGGCCGGCACAACGGGAAGCGAAGGGGCGACCCUGAGCGGAUCCCACAAAAGCCGGUCUCAGUUCGGAUUGCAGUCUGCAACUCGACUGCAUGAAGUUGGAAUCGCCAGUAAUCGUGGAUCAGCCAAGCCACGGUGAAUACGUUCCCGGGCCUU